UACGGGGGGGGCGAGCGUUGUUCGGAAUUACUGGGCGUAAAGGGCUCGUAGGCGGCCAACUAAGGCAGACGUGAAAUCCCUCGGCUUAACCGGGGAACUGCGUCUGAUACUGGAUGGCUGGAGUUCGGUAGGGGAGACUGGAAUUCCUGGUGUAGCGGUGAAAUGCGCAGAUAUCAGGAGGAACACCGGUGGCGAAGGCGGGGCUCUGGGCCGAUACUGACGCUGAGGAGCGAAAGCGUGGGGAGCGAACAGG
rnacentral:rRNA from 1 species